rnacentral:rRNA from 1 species
AUACGUAGGGGGCGAGCGUUGUCCGGAAUGAUUGGGCGUAAAGGGCGCGUAGGCGGCCCGGUAAGUCUGGAGUGAAAGUCCUGUUUUUAAGAUGGGAAUUGCUUUGGAUACUGUCGGGCUUGAGUGCAGGAGAGGUAAGUGGAAUUCCCAGUGUAGCGGUGAAAAGCGUAGAGAUUGGGAGGAACACCAGUGGCGAAGGCGAAUUACUGGACUGUAACUGACGCUGAGGCGCGAAAGUGUGGGGAGCAAACAGGAUUAGAUACCCUGGUAGUCCACACUGUAAACGAUGAAUGCUAGGUGUAGGGGGUAUCGACCCCUUCUGUGCCGCAGUCAACACAAUAAGCAUUCCGCCUGGGGAGUACGGCCGCAAGGUCGAAACUCAAAGGAAUUGACGGGG